UUAGUGGCGGACGGGUGAGUAACGCGUGAGUAACCUGCCUUGGAGUGGGGAAUAACACAACGAAAGCUGUGCUAAUACCGCAUAAUGCAGCUGAGUCGCAUGGCUCUGGCUGCCAAAGAUUUAUCGCUCUGAGAUGGACUCGCGUCUGAUUAGCUGGUUGGCGGGGUAACGGCCCACCAAGGCGACGAUCAGUAGCCGGACUGAGAGGUUGGCCGGCCACAUUGGGACUGAGACACGGCCCAGACUCC
rnacentral:rRNA from 1 species